UGUCUAUCCUUUGGGGGUUUCCUCUAAAAUAAGAAAGUUAUAUGAAAUUAAUCCAUAAUACCUAUAGGGGGGAAAGACAUCUAAACUUUGUAGCUAAAAAUCAACAUCCAAGUAAUGAAAGAUGCAGCAAACAUCACCAAAAUAUGGCACUCCAUAUCUAAGGUAUGAACCCCUCAUUUAACAUGUCAAUGCAUCUCGAUGAUAUUGUCUAUCUUUUUUACAUAAACAAAGGAUGUCAAAUUCAGUCUCAGCUCUAAAAUAGCAUUGACAUUUAUAAAAUUUAUAACCUAUUAGAUGACAACAAAAAAUUAGUGAUAAAAUAAUCAAGAUGUAAGAAUAAGAUUUUAUUGCUCUAAAGGAAAUCAGGUUUGAACAUUGAAAUUUGCAGUAGUUGAUAAAAUUACAAUUCAAAAGUAUGCUACUUUUCAUGUUUCCCUUAAACAUUAAGGCACCAAGGUUUGCAAUAUAAAGGACAAAAAAAGCUUUUUCAAAUUCUUACAGCUUUGCAACAGCGUUGUCAAGAGGCGCCCGGGCGCUCACCCAGGCACCCGGAUAAAGCGCCUUCAACUAGACGCUGCCUAAGUGCCCAGGAGAGGCGCCACUUUUCAAAAGCUAAAAGUCUUU
rnacentral:misc_RNA from 1 species